GGUGGCUCAGCGGUAGAGCGCUUGCCUUGCAUGCAAGAGGCCCUGGGUUCAAUUCCUCAGCACCA
rnacentral:tRNA from 1 species